GGGGCUAUAGCUCAAUUGGGAGAGCGUCUGGUUCGCAAUCAGAAGGUUGUGGGUUCGAUCCCCAUUAGCUCCA
rnacentral:tRNA from 1 species